ensembl:lncRNA
GGGAUGCGCCCCAGCCAUCCCCAACAGCGCCAAAGAUCUUUCAGCAAUCGCUGUAAAAGCAAAAUAUUGAGGGAGCUGCGAAGCGCAGAGGAUUUCCGCAAGUGUGGUUUUUGAACGAAUGAACAAAUGAAUGCAUUUACUUGGAAUAUAUUCUCCCUUUUGCUGGAGUGACUUUGCUGGGCAGGUGAAUGUAAUGGAAGCUGGGAGCCCGUCGCCCAUUGUAAUGUACUUGGUGACCUUGUCUUUCUUUCUGUGCCCACCUCCACCCAGAUCAAUUCAUGUCGCCAAUAAUACGGAGUCGAGGGGAAGCAGCACCUUUUCUAACUUGCACUAAGGCACCCCGGUGUUCCUGUUUCGCUGGCCAUGCCUCUGCCUGCAACGCCCUUUGCCCAGGUUGGUUUUGUUGGGCAGAAAAGAAUCUUCCAAUCUCGGGCCUAGAGGCACAUGGUCCAGCUGCUGGCAUUCUUGGAGCCAAGUCACAUCGCUCUGUGUUUGGGCGCAGAAGGUUCUGAACUAGUUACUGGGCUCUCACUGUGAACAAGGCAGACACUGUCCCUGCCUUCUCUUGAAACUAUGUUCUGGCAGAAGGGACAAACGUGAAACAGAAAAAUAAUGCAGUAUCAAUCAUUCCAUAAAAAGUAACAGCUUCAUUGGCAAGUUCUAAGUGUUUUUGUUAAUGAAUCACUCUGAAAGGGAGAGGAGAAGAUUUAAUUUGCUUAGGAAUGAGGAUCAACUGUGUGACAUUUGUUUCCUGGUUUCUGUCUUCAUAUUUUUAAGAUCAGACCUUCAACAAUAAAGGUAAGUCACUUGUCUUAGACGGUUUGUUACCGUCCUCUCCACACCAUCUGUUAAGAUACAACCUCUCUCUGCUGAUGUUUUUAACACAGACAGGCAAAUUUGAUCCAGGAACUUUGUUAUGGUAUGUACAAAUCUAAGUUUCCAGGCUCCAUGGACAUCAUUAACCCAAAAUAUCCCUACUGGACCGCACGAGACUAACCCAUCCUCUAGUCAUAGAUAGCCACAAGGAACAAAAAGGAAGCUCAGAUUUGUUUGGAAAGAUAGGCCAAUACUGGAGGUCCAUCCAAUACCUCAUGGAUUUGCUAUUACACAGCUGUUUUUUUUGUUUUUUUGUUUGUUUGUUUUAGGGCUUCACCUUUGGCAUAUGGAAGUUCCCAGGCUAGGGGUCAAAUCGGAGCUACCGCUGCCGCUGCCGGCCUAUGAUACAGCCACAGCCACGUGGGAUCCAAGUUGCAACUGUGGUCUACACCACAGCUCAUGGCAAUGCCGGAUCCUUAACCCACUGAGCAAGGCCAGGGAUCGAACCUGCAUGCUCGUGGAUCCUAGUUAGGUUCAUUAACCCCUGAACCAUGACAAGAACUCCCUACACAGCUGUUCUUGCCUGGGAAGAGGAGCAGGGCACACUUGGACUGCUUUCCAAGAUUCUGUGACUCAGUGAUGAACUUCCAAAAACAACAGCACACCAUUGGCUAAAACCAUCUGGGUAAGUUUACAAGAACUCAAAGCAGACUGGAUCAGAAAGGCAGCAAGAUUUUUGUUGUUUCCCAGUUGGAACCAGAGGCUGAUUCAAGGUUAAGAUUCAGCGAAAGCUGGCAGAUGUGCUACUUUUAUGGCCAUCAUCUGUCACUCAAGCAUUUUUGAGUUGUUUUCUCACUAGAGAUGAUCUCAUCCUUCUUUGCUCUGGGCUCCUUGCUACCAAAUUACAGUUUUUGAAAUGAAUACCCAGGUAGGGGUGCCAACUUUGGCAUUUCAACACCACCCUUGCUGCUCAUGCUCAGAGAGUUCAAGUGGCUUAAAAUUAAUGGAGGUCAUAAAACCAGUUAGUAUUGGAACACAGGUUGAACUCGGAUCUCUUAUCUUCUCUCUUUACCAUGCUGAAUUACAUAAAUCAUCCCAGUGUUUAAGAUAGAUUGCUUUUCCUCCCUGUGAUAAGUGGAACAAUGCCCCCCCCCCCGCCCCCCCCCCCCCCGCCACACCCCUCCAUGUCUACACCCUAAACUGUGGAACCUAUGAAUAUGUUUUGUCCACAUGGCAAAGAGAAUUGGGGUUGCAGAUGGAAUUAAGAUUGCUAAUUAACUGAGUUUAUAACGGGGAGAUUAUCCUGGAUUAUCAGGACGAGUCCAAUGUAAUCACAGAGGUCUUGAAACGUGGAAGGAGGUAUAAGAGCCAGUGUUGGAGCGGAGGUGGCAUCAUGCAGCAGUGGAAACAAAUCUGACUAGGAACCAUGAGGUUUUCGGGUUCCAUCCCUGGCCUCGUGCAGUGGGUUAAGGAUCUGGCAUUGCCAUGAGCUGUGGUGUAGGUCGCAGAUGAAGCUCGGAUCUGGCAUUGCUGUGGCUGUGGCAUAGGACUGCAGCUGUAGCUCUGAUUCAACCCCUAGUGUGGGAACGUCCACCUGCUGCGAGUGUGGCCCUAUAAAAA